GACGCGAUGAAGCACACGACAGCGAAGAUGAUUGCAAUUUCAGCAUGCUCCAUUCCCAGCAGCAAAUACUGGCAAGAUGACAUUGUAGCUGAGAAGAACACCAUGAAGGAGCAAGUUGCAGCCGUUACCUCAGGAACUAUUCCAACUUGAAGAAGGAAAGGGCUUAUAAGCAUGCCACCACCAAUUCCAAACAUGCCACCCAAAAUCCCAGCUAAAAAUGCCAUUACUGGGAAGAUCAGUUUCUUUGAUGGUUCAACUGCUGGC
rnacentral:misc_RNA from 1 species